rnacentral:lncRNA from 1 species
GAGAAUGUAGAGUUAUGCAAACUUUUCGGCUGGUUGAGUUGAUAUUCCAAACAAGUAACAGUAAUGCAAUCAUUACAAGGUAGGCAUAAUUUUGAAAAGAAAAAUGAAAUUAUGAUGUGAGCAUAUACAGAAAAGAGUUUUAUGCAUUAGGGGAAGAGAAGAAGUGAUUUAAUUCACUAAAAUCUUGGUUAGAUAUUAGUAUGUUAUGGUGGAAGUGGAUGUCUCAGACAAGAAGGUAUUGAUAUUUAGUAAGGUCUGUGUUUGAACAUUAUUUUGAUGGAGACGGUCCAACCUCAAACUUGUGACAAUAAUUUGGAAUAUAUUUGUCCUUUGGUAUAAACAAAAGGAAAGUUGAAUCACUUGGUGCCUCGGAAAACGAAAGGCAUGGUAUGGAUAUGUUCAAUUAUAAGGGGCUAAAGCUAUAGAGAUUUUUGUUUUUCAUUUCAUGUUGCUGUGAUGUGAUGCUGCAG